rnacentral:rRNA from 1 species
GUGAACGCUGGCGGCGUGCUUAACACAUGCAAGUCGAACGAUGACUUCUGUGCUUGCACAGAAUGAUUAGUGGCGAACGGGUGAGUAACACGUGAGUAACCUGCCCUUGACUUCGGGAUAAGCCUGGGAAACCGGGUCUAAUACCGGAUACGACCUCCUGGCGCAUGCCAUGGGGGUGGAAAGCUUUAUGCGGUUUUGGAUGGACUCGCGGCCUAUCAGCUUGUUGGUUGGGGUAAUGGCCCACCAAGGCGACGACGGGUAGCCGGCCUGAGAGGGUGACCGGCCACACUGGGACUGAGACACGGCCCAGACUCCUACGGGAGGCAGCAGUGGGGAAUAUUGCACAAUGGGCGGAAGCCUGAUGCAGCGACGCCGCGUGAGGGAUGACGGCCUUCGGGUUGUAAACCUCUUUCAGCAGGGAAGAAGCGAAAGUGACGGUACCUGCAGAAGAAGCGCCGGCUAACUACGUGCCAGCAGCCGCGGUAAUACGUAGGGCGCAAGCGUUAUCCGGAAUUAUUGGGCGUAAAGAGCUCGUAGGCGGUUUGUCGCGUCUGCUGUGAAAGCCCGGGGCUCAACCCCGGGUCUGCAGUGGGUACGGGCAGACUAGAGUGAUGUAGGGGAGACUGGAAUUCCUGGUGUAGCGGUGAAAUGCGCAGAUAUCAGGAGGAACACCGAUGGCGAAGGCAGGUCUCUGGGCAUUAACUGACGCUGAGGAGCGAAAGCAUGGGGAGCGAACAGGAUUAGAUACCCUGGUAGUCCAUGCCGUAAACGUUGGGCACUAGGUGUGGGGGAACAUUCCACGUUUUCCGCGCCGUAGCUAACGCAUUAAGUGCCCCGCCUGGGGAGUACGGCCGCAAGGCUAACGAAA